UACAGAGGUCCCAAGCGUUGUUCGGAUUCACUGGGCGUAAAGGGUGCGUAGGCGGUCGGGUAAGUCUGAUGUGAAAUCUCACAGCUCAACUGUGAAACUGCAUUGGAUACUAUCCGGCUCGAGGAAUGGAGGGGAGACUGGAAUACUUGGUGUAGCAGUGAAAUGCGUAGAUAUCAAGUGGAACACCAGUGGCGAAGGCGGCUCACUGGCCCGAUACUGACGCUGAGGCACGAAAGCGUGGGGAGCAAACAGG
rnacentral:rRNA from 1 species